GUGCCAGCAGCCGCGGUAAUACGAAGGGGGCUAGCGUUGCUCGGAAUCACUGGGCGUAAAGGGCGCGUAGGCGGCCGAUCAAGUCAGGGGUGAAAGCCUGUGGCUCAACCACAGAAUUGCCUUUGAUACUGUUCGGCUCGAGACCGGAAGAGGUUGGUGGAACUGCGAGUGUAGAGGUGAAAUUCGUAGAUAUUCGCAAGAACACCAGUGGCGAAGGCGGCCAACUGGUCCGGUUCUGACGCUGAGGCGCGAAAGCGUGGGGAGCAAACAGGAUUAGAUACCCUGGUAGUCC
rnacentral:rRNA from 1 species